rnacentral:rRNA from 1 species
UACGUAGGGCGCAAGCGUUGUCCGGAAUUAUUGGGCGUAAAGAGCUCGUAGGCGGUUUGUCGCGUCUGCUGUGAAAACUCGAGGCUCAACCUCGGGCUUGCAGUGGGUACGGGGCAGACUAGAGUGCGGUAGGGGAGACUGGAAUUCCUGGUGUAGCGGUGGAAUGCGCAGAUAUCAGGAGGAACACCGAUGGCGAAGGCAGGUCUCUGGGCAGUAACUGACGCUG